rnacentral:snoRNA from 1 species
UUCUGCAAAUGAUGAGUUGUAACUUCAUUGCCUACGUUGUUUGACAAAUACUUUAGUUAGUCAAUAAAAUUGCAAUGACUGAGGCUUAA